GUAAACGAUGUCGACUUGGAGGUUGUGCCCUUGAGGCGUGGCUUCCGGAGCUAACGCGUUAAGUCGACCGCCUGGGGAGUACGGCCGCAAGGUUAAAACUCAAAUGAAUUGACGGGGGCCCGCACAAGCGGUGGAGCAUGUGGUUUAAUUCGAUGCAACGCGAAGAACCUUACCUACUCUUGACAUCCACGGAAUUCGCCAGAGAUGGCUUAGUGCCUUCGGGAACCGUGAGACAGGUGCUGCAUGGCUGUCGUCAGCUCGUGUUGUGAAAUGUUGGGUUAAGUCCCGCAACGAGCGCAACCCUUAUCCUUUGUUGCCAGCACGUAAUGGUGGGAACUCAAAGGAGACUGCCGGUGAUAAACCGGAGGAAGGUGGGGAUGACGUCAAGUCAUCAUGGCCCUUACGAGUAGGGCUACACACGUGCUACAAUGGCAUAUACAAAGAGAAGCGAACUCGCGAGAGCAAGCGGACCUCAUAAAGUAUGUCGUAGUCCGGAUUGGAGUCUGCAACUCGACUCCAUGAAGUCGGAAUCGCUAGUAAUCGUAGAUCAGAAUGCUACGGUGAAUACGUUCCCGGGCCUUGUACACACCGCCCGUCACACCAUGGGAGUGGGUUGCAAAAGAAGUAGGUUGCUUAACCUUCGGGAGGGCGCUUACCACUUUGUG
rnacentral:rRNA from 1 species